AAUGUUUGCAGCCUGUAAACAAGGAGUUACAGCCCUCAUAAUCACAUCUUCCACUAUAGAAGCUGAGGCUGCAGCAAUCAGUUAAGAAGAUGGUUGAAAUUCCUGAUCAAAAAUUGGAAGUGGACUCAGUGGCAUCCCACACCAAGGAGUUUGACAGAGUUACAGUACUUACAGUUCUCUUCAGUGGCACUAGGUUUUAGGCAUUCCAUCUACACUAGGAACAUAAAAAUGGGAAAAAGCACUGGAAGAUGCUGAGGCAGAAGUAGAAUGGGCCAAAAACCAGCC